GACGAACGCUGGCGGCGUGCCUAAUACAUGCAAGUAGAACGCUGAAGGAGGAGCUUGCUUCUCUGGAUGAGUUGCGAACGGGUGAGUAACGCGUAGGUAACCUGCCUGGUAGCGGGGGAUAACUAUUGGAAACGAUAGCUAAUACCGCAUAAUAGUAGAUGUUGCAUGACAUUUGCUUAAAAGGUGCAAUUGCAUCACUACCAGAUGGACCUGCGUUGUAUUAGCUAGUUGGUGGGGUAACGGCUCACCAAGGCGACAAUACAUAGCCGACCUGAGAGGGUGAUCGGCCACACUGGGACUGAGACACGGCCCAGACUCCUACGGGAGGCAGCAGUAGGGAAUCUUCGGCAAUGGACGGAAGUCUGACCGAGCAACGCCGCGUGAGUGAAGAAGGUUUUCGGAUCGUAAAGCUCUGUUGUAAGAGAAGAACGAGUGUGAGAGUGGAAAGUUCACACUGUGACGGUAUCUUACCAGAAAGGGACGGCUAACUACGUG
rnacentral:rRNA from 1 species